UCUCGGCGCACGAUACCUUAUCGUGCACCGUCGCCAUGGCAAGGAAAAAGGGUGGGAAAUCUCAAGGUAGGAAGUGUGAUGAUGCAAGGAAGAAGCCUCGUGGUCCAUCCUCUGAUUCGCAAGCUCUCAAAACUCGUUCGAUUGAUGAGGUUUUGGGGGUUAAAGCUUUGGAUUUUCCAGUAGAGAAUGAAGUGUUUACACCAAAAUCUGGGUUACAACAUCUGCAAGCGAGAUCGGAGCUGCGACAUACUGGAUGCAGUCCAUUCACAAAUCAUCUGAUCAUCUGAACUCUGGUCGUCCUAAUGUAGAGGUUGGUAUGAUUACUGUACCCAUUUUACAACAAUGCGAUGAAAUUUAUGAGAAUUUGUCUGAACAUGAGCAUGCUGAUGAUGUUAGAACACUAGAAUCCAUAGAUGAUGAUGAUGUUCCUAGCCCUGUUCAGAUUGAUAUUGAUGAUAUCCAGGAGGAAGUGGAUUUCUGGAACUCGUCCAGUAUUUGCUAUAUUGUGGGUGCUAAUCCACCAUUACAUGUGAUGGAGGGUUUUAUCAGGCGUAUCUGGAAGAAAUACAAUGUGGACAAGGUAGUCUUAGUGAAGAAGGGGAUCUAUUUGGUGCGUUUUUUUACUAUGGAUAUGCGUGAUAAGGUCAUUACUGGGCACCAUUUUUUGAUAACAAACCAAUGAUUGUCAAGCCUUGGUCUGUUGAUAUGGAUAUGGAGAAAGAGGAACUCAAAUCUGUGCCAAUCUAGAUUCAGUUGAGACUGAACUUCAAAUAUCGCGGAGAAAGGUCCUUGUUCAAGAUAGUAAGCCAAAUAGGUAAGCCUAUUAAGAGGGACACUGCUACUGUGAGUAGGGAUAAGGUGCAGUUUGCUAGGGUUUUGGUUGAUAUGCCUAUAACACAGAAGCUUCCUGAUCAAGUAGCUUUUGUUAAUGAGAAUAGUGAGAUGGUACAAGUACCUAUAUCAUAUGAAUGAAGGCCAAAUAUUUAUGAGAAGUGUAAAAUGGUGGGACAUCUAUCUGCUGACUGUAAGUAUAGCAAGACUAAGAGAGUGUGGGUGCAGAAAACUCAACCUGUACAGCAGCAAAGUGUACCAAUAGAGAAGAGUAAUCCAGAAGUGGAUCGGGAAGGGUUUCAAAGGUCUCUCAGACCAAUCAGGGUUAGAGUUUCUAAUCCAGACCCAACAACAAUUAACAAUCAGUUUCAAAUGUUGAAUGAGGUUGAGCACAGUGUCUGCAGCACAACAGAAAUGGAAGGGGAUGGUGACACAGAGGAUGUAAGCCCAGGAGGAGGGAACUCUUCCAAAUCUUAUGGAUAGAUACUUGCUUGGAAUGUUAGGGGUAUCAACCUUUCUCAAAAACAGGAUAUUGUGAAGCAGUUUUUGCACAAGUAUCAAGUGGGUUUGGUUGGUCUCCUAGAGCAUAAGGUGAAGCUUCCUAAUCUAGGUAAGCUUUACCAAAAAAUGUUUUCUGGUUGGUGUUUUACUAGUAAUGCUAGUUUCCAUGAAGGGGGUAGAAUAGUAGUGGCUUGGAAUCCUGGUAGCUUCUCUGUUAAUAUUGUUGCUGUGUCAGAUCAAUUAAUACAUUGCUAUGUUAUUCCAGUGAGUGGUUUACCUGGUUUCUUUUGUACUUUCAUUUAUGCUUUUAAUGAGAGUCAAAAGAGAGAGAGGUUGUGGAAGGAUGUGAAGGAUCUCAAUACACAGGAUGCAUGGAUCUUAUGUGGGGAUCUGAAUUGUGUAAUGAAUGUGGGGGAGAGAAUUGGAGCUCCUGUGAGGAGUAUGGAGAUGGUUGAUGUGAUUGUAUGCAAUACUGCCAGCUAGAAGAUAUUAAAAGUGUGGGGAAUUUUUAUACAUGGAACAAUAAACAAUCAGGGAGUGCAAGAGUGUUUUCAAAAAUUGACAGAUUUAUGUCAAAUUCUAAAUGGCAAGGGUUGUAUCCUACUGCUGAGGUUUGUUUUAUGACUGAGGGGUGUUUUGACCACUCUCCUGGUUUAUUGGCUGUACAUCCAAGAGAUGGGGGGGGGAGCCAUUUAAAUAUUUCACAAUGUGGAAGAAUUCCUCUCAAUUUAUUUCCACUAUUCAGUCUCACUGGAAUAGUCAGAUGCAUGGUAGUAAGAUGUUCUGUGUGGUCCAUAGGCUGAAGAAGGUGAAAAUGGCACUAAAGGAGUUGAAUAGAACAGGUUUCACAGAUGUUCAGGCAACUGACUUGGAAGCCUAUCAUGAUAUGAUUGAAGCUCAGAAAGAGAUGCAUUUACAUCCUGAUGAUCAAAACAUUGCUGAUUUGGAACUUUUGGUUGUUUCUGAAUACAAGGUUAAACAUCAGGCAUAUGUAGAGUUUUUGAAACAAAAGGCCAAAGCUGCUUGGUUAAGAGAUGGAGAUGAGAACACUUCUCUUUUUCAUCAAAGUAUUAGGGCUAGGAAUAUUCAGAACCAGGUGUACAGUAUACAAGAUAUGGAUGGUGUGUGGAAAGAUAAGUCAGCUGAUGUUUCUAAAGCUUUUCUGACUUAUUACACUUCUCUGUUGGGUACCACUCAGCCUAAUAGGAAGUCUGUUUUAAGACAAAUUGUUCAAGCAGGUCCUCUUGUAACUGAUCAGCACAAAUGUAUUCUCAAUGCACCUUAUACUGCAGCUGAGGUUAAGAAGGCUUUGGCUUCUAUUCCUGGUGUGAAAGCACCAGUCCCUGAUGGUUUUGGUUCCUUCUUUUACAAAGAUGCAUGGCACAUAGUGCACUAGUAGAAAAAACCCCUGUUGCAGCCCCCUUGUUGCAGCGUACAUGUAUUAAUACGCUUCAAUAACCAGUCGGUCAACGCGGGUCAAACCUUUUAAAGGGUUGUUGCAGCGUACAAUUUAAUUGUUCCCUGCAAAAAAGUUUGUUGCAGCGUACAAUUUAAAAGCCCCCUGCAAUAACCUAUUUUUGUCGCAGCGUACAUUUAAAAGCCCCCUGCAAUAGCCCGGGUCAAAAAAAAAAUUCGCUGCAAUAUUAAAAUUUCAUUUCUCGCGCUUAACUCCCCUCUUCUUCCCUUACCUUUUCCUGCGUAGUCCCCAAAAAAACCCUUCCUGCGUCGCCAUAGCUUACUCGUCGGUGGUUCUGGCCUCCUCGCCAGUCGCCACCUUUAUUCGAAACCCUCUCCUCUUCCAAGAAAAACCACGAGCAGCUAGUGAGCUACCAGCCUACCCUCUCAGUCCUCCCAUCUUCAAUUCUCUGAACUUGUACCUUUCUUUCACGAAAGCCGGCCACCAAGGGUAAGACGGAUUUGUAAUCUCGAAAUUCUGCCGCGUUCACCACCGUCUCACCACCUUCCGAUGGAGAUCCAAUUGGGUUCAACUACCACCGUUUCUCACCAAUCGCGUUUCUCACCACCACCACCACCGCCCGUUUUUCUUCAAAUUUAAGUGAAUUUAUGCACUACGGAGAAUUAGGGAUUUGAGGACGCUUAAUUAUCAGGAUUUCAUCCGCAAACUCUGCACUUAGAUUUUGGGAUAUGGGUUGAGGUUGAUUCUUUUUUGUUAUGCUACUGCUCUUUAAGUAUAGGCAUCGGUAUGCUUCUCUUAUUUCUUCUUUAAGAUUUACAUAAUUUUUAGUGUUGAUUGAAGUUGGAUUUGCUGAUUGUUAGAGGUUUUAGUAAUCUUGUAUGAUAUAGUAAUUUAUGGCAGAUAUGAACUAUUUAAGUUUUGUUAACCAUCAUUUUGCCUUUAAUCUCUUUGAAGAAGUUAAAAUAAAAUAAGACUUAAAGUUUUAGUUAGGGAACGAUUAGAGCUGAGAAAUACCAUGUUUAUCAAGUAAUACUGUCAUUUGAUGGGAAUUAGGAUGUUCACUUCAUAUUAUUAGAAGAAUUGAAUCCAUCUUUACUAAAAUUCUUCUUUCAUUGAGAUGUUAAUGUCUCAGGAUUGAAUAUAGCUUUGCAAUUUCACUACAAUAGUAUAGAUUUGUGAUAAUUUGGGUUUCAUUGUUCAACACCAGCAAAGCAAAUGGAGAGGCGUCGAGAUUAGGUUUCAGAAAUUGAUGGUGUUUUUAAUGAUUAAAUAAGACAGCUGGUGUUGGAAAUGUUGCUGGAGUUGGAACUCAUUCCUGUACUGAAUGUGUUUCUGAAUGUGCUGCUAAAUGUGGAUUUCUGAUUGGAAGAACUGUGGCUGUUUUGAUAACUAUGACGAUUGGGACCUCGAUGGCUGCUCGUCAAGGUCCUCUAGCUAUGGCUGCUCAUCAAAUCUGUAUGCAAGUGUGGUUGGCUGUCUCUCUUUUAACUGAUGGAUUGGCCGCAUCUGGUCAGGUCUACACUCCGAGGAUUGCGCCUUAUGCGAGGAAUUUGAUGUGGUUCGUGAGCAAUGGGCUAAGUUUUUUACCAACAAGUAUUUAUUAUUGGCUUUAGCGCGCUUGAUCGAGUUGGUUUAGUUGUUAUAGAAUAAAUUUUAUAUUAAAAUGUAUGUUUAUGUUGAAAUUGGAACAUAUAUUUAAAUGUAAUAUGUGCACUUUGGUUUUGGGAUAUAUAGUAUACAAAA